rnacentral:lncRNA from 1 species
UUGGCACCCAGUGACCUGCUUGAGUGGAGUGUUGUAAAUAUGUAAUUGGUACCAAUUUAGGAUUUAGUAUUCUCAGUGCUUAUUUAGUUGAAUCUGUGAUUAUUAUGACAGAUCUGGUUCUUGUUUUUCUUGAUUAUGAUUUAUUAGGCUUAGUCAAUAUAAUCACAUUAGUGCUUGUACUUCAAUUAUCAAUUAACAAGAUUCCGUUUUCUCUAAUUUUCGGUAGUCAUAGUGUAAUUGAUGAUGAUACCUUUAAAUCGUUAAAUGAUUUCUGCCUUUGAACAUAGAAAAUCCCCACUUUGUCAUGGUCUACAAGAUCAAAAUAUAUAUCCUUUCCAAUCUGUUUUGCAAGGUCUUCGUCUCGUACCACCUAAGAAGUAUCGAACAAUUAAUAGCAUGUUUCUAACGAGCAAUACUAAUUUCUAGGGAAGGAAUCUUAGAACACCUUUAUAAAAGCAUAGAGGUUAGCCACCGUUGUUUCUUUAUUUUUGUGCUCUUUUACUUCCCGGUCUUUCUUCAACCUCUCCUGCAUAAUCCCGUUGUCCGAAUUCAGUGCAGAUUUUCCAGAAUAAACCAACAGAAAAAGUACAAUAGAAAUGGCAAGUUAGUGGCAAACGGAGCUUGGUUUAAUAUUGGCUUGAAAUACUAAUAAGUUAUCAUGAGAAUCAAAUAAAAAAAAAGUAUUGGUUUAGGCAGAGUUCAAAUUUGGUGAAGAAAAAAUAUGACAUAGUUUCGGUCAAGAACAGCCAUCCAGUUGAUUAGCUGAAUAUGGUGUACUAUCUUCAUUCUAUCAUAAAAUAAGUCAGCCUUAUGAAUUUGUUUGGAUGUUAAACUUAAAAUAGGUUUCUACCUGGCUUGAUUUAUUUUGGGCCCUAAAGUACAUAAGAAUAUCUACUUACCCAUAAAUGUUCAGCAGUGUCUUUCUCAUCCACAUUGCAUAGUACUUCAACUUCAACUACAAGAGUAUCAUUCAGAAGAUACCCUCUUGAAGGAUCAAACAAUACACCAUGAGGUAUGAACUUUACGAAACCCUGAUCCCUUUGUAGUUUAUUGAAUUGGAGUUGCGUGACUACAUAGUGCAAACAAAGUUACCAAAAUAACACAGCUAUGCCCAAAAAUUAUGUGCAUUUCCACAUUCCUUUUCCUCUUUCAUUUUGUUCUCGGAGAAAAAAGCAACGCAACAUAGCUUUAUCAAGUGUAAAAUUCUAUUUCACAAUGAAGGAUUUCAGAGAAUAGGAGUAUUGCAUUCUCAUGGAUUGAAAAGACGGUUACAAGGAUUAAAUAUAGGAAGUAGCCUCUCAGCCACUGUUACCCUAGGAACUAGAAAAGGAAACUAAUCAAUGAGAAAAGUGGUAACAUAACUAUUAACUACCAAAACUGGACUGCACUUGUGUGACAUAAUGGCGUGACAUUGGCCAAUUCAAUUGUGACACGUUGCAAUACAAUUUUUUUAAACAUAAAAAGAUGUGAGAGAUAGAGAGAGAAUAGUUGAAUUGGCUUAUGUGUCACAAAUGGAUUGGCCAAAGUCAUGUGACAUUCCCGCCUUAAUGGUACAGAAGUGGUGUCCACCAAAUCCCUUUUAUUUUAUGAAAAAAUAAUACUAAACAAACCAUAUUAAUACGCCAGAUUCCAAUAGAGUAAAUAAAGCAAACAUAUGUCAUGUAAGCACAACUCAGUUGGUAGCUGCAACGAUAAUAAUAUGCAGGGGUCGGGGUUCGAGUCUCGGAUUCCCAACUUCUCCACACUUAAAGUGUGUUUGUCCGGCCAGUAGGCUACUUGAGAAAAAAAAAAAAAAACUUACAAAUUACAAUACUCUUGUCUUAAGACAUUGUCCUUUUCAACAUACAUGCAUGGUAGUUCGUUUGUAACAACUGCAAGUAACAAACUGAAUAAGGUACCUUUUGUCAAAUUGUACUCAUCCUUGAUUUGAUUAACUACUCUAAAACUAAACUGUACACAUCUGCUCCAACCAUCGGGCAAACUAGCCGAAUCUGCAGUGCACAGAGACAUGUGCAAAUAAUCCAUCACGUUGUUCCCUUCUUGGAAAAAAAGUACACGCCUGCUCAGAGUGAAAAUAAAAAACAUCAUAAGGAAUUGACAAAGAUAAAUACACAGGAACUAAAAUAACAACUACAACAAAAUCACUUCCUACAAUAGAUAGAGCCGGUUAUUACAUAAUAUAUCAUGUCUACAAAAAUAGAAAGAUGAACAUCAUGAGUUGAUUCGGGGAAUGUGUAAGCAAAAUACCAUUUAUAGCCACCAACUUCAAAUACAUCUGAAUAGAUCUCUCUCGCAUUUUUCUGAGAAAAUCUGUCAAUUGUCCAUUUGAAUCGUUUUGGCAAAGAAUCCACAGUGUUGGCAGUUUCAGGUUGAGCAGCAUCUAAUGUUUAUCAGUUUAAAUUAAAAGAGAAAUUAAGUAUCCUGCCAUGAAUUAGCUGAAAACUUGGAGAGGUAAAAACAAUUAAGAGUCGUCCUACAGUGCAGCAAGACAAUGUGCAUGAUAUUAAUGCUUAGUCAUGCAGUUUAGGAGAAUAUAUUUCGAAGUUCAAGAACCUAAUCGGAGUAUCUGUCACUGUAAUGAGUUUGUGAACCUGAUUCGUAUACCAAAAUAAACCUAUAUAAUUGUAUUCUCAAUCGUUCACUAUAUUCGUGUAUUGUAAGCCUUUGAGUUACAUAUUACCAGUAUAAAAUAAUAUAAUGCACAUUGUCUCGCUGCACUGUAGAACGACUCUUAAUUGACACUACCAGUAUCAACAUAUUGUCUCAAGGAACAUUGACAAUAAUUAUAUGAAAAUUUGAAAAUGGACUAUCUAGUUCAAAUAGGUUGACAUAGUUAUAAAAAGAAUUUGAUUUUUAAGCACUUCCGUUAAGUUGCGGAUUAAGAUCCUCUCCAUUUAUGUGUUUCUCCAUUUCUUCAAUUUGGAGAGAUAAAGACACAUAAAAUCUUAAAAAAAGUAAAAUAUAAUUAAUGAUGGUGGAAUCCAUUUAGUGGUAGGACCCACCAUCUAUUUCUUGUGUUUAUCUCUCUCCAACUUGUAAAACUCCAUUUAUUUUGUCAAAUGGAGAGGAACUUCACCCACUUGUUGCCGUUUGAAAACAAACCCACUUUGUUUACUACUUUCAAAGAUUAACAAAGGAAUUUUCUCUAUUGCACUACAAAUCUUUGAAAUUGAUAACAAAGUAGCAUUUUUUUUAAAAAUAAAUAAAAAGGAAAUCAGAAAAUGAAAAAAAAUGGGAAAUGUUCAUAAACUAUCUCAAAGAAACUAUAAAAAUAAGCUGAGAUGAGCUUAUGAACAUGUAAUAAGCUAUCUUCAUAAGUUAAAAUAAGCCAAUCUUAAAUCAGUUGAUUAGAUUAACGGAAACAGCAAAGGAGAGAGUAAGUACCUUUGUCCUCUGCUUCUGACUCUGUUUGGGUUCAACGAUCAUAUGCUCCAGCUCCUCCCUGUUUUAUAAGUUUUUUUUUUUUUUUCCUUCCCUGUGAACCUUUAUUUAAAUAAGUUUCAUCUAUAAUUUUCAUUUUCACAUUUAUUUUUGUUUUGAGUAAGGUAGUUUUUACCUGCAGUGUGAGUUUCAUACUUUAAAAAUGAAUCUUGCAUAAAGUAAUAAUACAAAUAUGAGUUGCAUUCAAUAAAUAAAUGUUAGAGAAAAUAGUAGAAAAAAGUAUUGUGUUCUGGACACUCCUCAUAUUUUUUUAGUAAAAAUAAAAAGUUUCAUAAAUAUUUUAAAAAAUAUAAGUAUGAGUGAGUUGUGGCUAGGUGUUCGUGUUACGAUUUAAAUCAAUUUUGAUAAAAAAAAAAAAAUUAUUUAAAAGUGAAAUUACAUAUAGAUUAGUUUGGUUUAGAUAACUCAAUUAAAAAGAUUAAAAGUGAAUAACUAUAGUUCCUAAGAAGAUUCGUGAGGGAAAAUAAAAACAAUUUUUUUUUUACAAGAUAAAAACAAUUAUUAUUCCAUGAGAAAAAUAAACGAGGACAAGUUACUAUUGUCUUUGCCCUCUUCACUCUAAUAUUGACGCUUUCAAUGACGGGGAAGCUAUGUUUGGAGUUCAUGAUAGCAGUUUACAAUCCUACAUGCUUAGCAGACAGUUUGAUUCAAACUGAUUUUCAGUCUGUUGAUGAUAAUUGUCUUUCUUAGGAGCAGCUUGCUUAGUAAUAACUGUUAUAUAUCUUGUUUGUUGGAAAGAGGCUGCUGCACUUGAAACCCGAAAUGUUUAAUGAUCAUGCAUGUAAAACUCAAAGCGUAUGGGGUUGCCACACUAACCUUUAGGUUCGAUUCGCCCCCACCAAUAAAUGUAUAUUGGAUGCAAUAGGAAUGACCGGCGAAUCCCCUUCAGGAUACUAUGAGUUCCUUGACGUGUAUUGCACAACCACACCAAGCGUAUCUCCUAACAGUAUUUUACAGAUUUAUGGUUCCAGCAAUUCACUCAUGCAUUAGAGAAUUGAUGGAUGAUUUAGAAUAAUAGAAUGGUGAAGAAUUAUGUUGUUAAUGUAACAAAAUUCUGUCCAAAUUGUGUGUAGUUGUGUGGUUUUUGUUUUUUCAACUAAUGCCAAAAUGUCAAGCAUUUAUAGUGCAUUAUAUGACUCUUCACAUGAGAGAAAGCACCUAUUUAACUUGAAUCAAUGCCAUGAUUCAUUAAGCACUAUUUUGCCAAAGGUUAUAACCAUAUAUACUUGAAUCAAUGUCAUGGUUCAUUAUUAAUAAUAAAUAAUAAUGUUCCAAUGUAUAUGAAUGGUUCCCAUGAAGAGUUACAACUUUUGGUUCUAAAGUGAUUCAAUUAUUUUGGAAAUCACCAACAAUCCCCCACCAUUUUCAAAAUACUAAAUCACAUAAAUCCGGAAAUUCCAUGCCUUCAAAUAAUGGUAUCUCGCGAUUUGAACCAUUACUUAGUAAGUUAAGUUUUCGCUCAUUCCCAAAUAGUAUGGUAGGCAAGCUUUGAACCAACUAUCCAUUAGAACAAGUGUGCAUAACUUACACAUAGAAUCUCGGUACCAUUGAUAAAGAGACUUGUAAGAUGACACAUUAAGAAGGCCUUGUGUCAUAUAUCCCUUUUCAUGAGAAUUUAAGAGUCAAUCCCUUGAACUCCGUGAAGCGGCCAAACUUCAUUCUCACAUAGGUAGACUAUAUCGGGAAUGCCCCAUAAGUAUGCAUUCCAGCAAAUAUAUGCUAUAUGUCCAUUAAGAGGAAAACUUCAUCAUACCUUUUUUCUUCUUAUGGUCCAAGUACUUUUACCUUUGGGAUCUAUCUAUUGUCAAGUACUACAAUUACUCUAAUAGUGUGCUUUCACCAUUGAACCCAAGACUUGAUGCUACUCAAGUGUGGGUUGAGUUUCCACUAUUGGUAAUCAAUUAGAUAUGGGCUUGAGUCCCAUCCCCAAUGAUGUCUUCAACACCAUAUCCUUUGUCAGACCUUUCGUCAAAGGAUCUGCAAGAUUCUUCUCUGUUCUUACGAACAUGAUGGAAAUUAUUCCAUUAGAAAUCAAGUCUCUUACAUAGCUAUGUCUUAAACCAAUAUGCCUUGAUUUCCCAUUAUAAACUUGGCUAUAAGCUUUUGAUAGUGUGGAUUGAUUAUCACAAUGUAUGGAUACUGGCGCCAUUGGCUUUUGCCAAACUGGUAUGUCAUACAAUAAAUUUCUUAGCCAUUCUGCCUCUUUACUCCCUGCAGCCAAUGCAAUAAAUUCUGCAGCCAUGGUGGAGUCGACAAUGCAUGUUUGUUUCUUUGAACCCCAAGAAACUGCACCUCCACCAAGGUUAAAGAUCCAUCCACUUGUGGAAGCAUGAUCUUCAACAUACGUUACCCAACUAGCAUCUGUGUAUCCUUCCAAAACAGAAGGGUCUCCACUAUAUGUUAAACAAUAAUUCAUUGUUCCCUUUAAGUAUUUUAAUACUCUUUUCACAGCGUGCCAGUGUUCUUUACUUGGAUUGCUAGUAUACCGACUUAACCUUCCAACAGCAUAUGCUAUGUCAGGUCUAGUACAAGUCAUAGCAUACAUCAAGCAUCCGAUUACUUUAGAAUAUUCAAGUUGUGCCACAGGACAACCUUUGUUUGGUUGCAAACUGACAGUUUGGUCAAAUGGGGUAGAGAUCGGUUUACAAUCUAAAUGAUUGAAUUUCUGAAGCACCUUUUCUAUGUAAUGAGAUUGGGAUAAACCAAUAUGGUUACCAUCUCUUAUGAUUUUAAUUCCUAAAAUCACAUCAGCUUCUCCUAAAUCUUUCAUAUCAAAAUUGUUGGAUAAGAAAGCUUUAGUUUCUUCAACCUCAUUUAUACUUGUACCAAAGAUCAACAUGUCAUCUACAUAUAAGCAAAUCAUGACACCUUUUCCAUUUUGGAAUUUACUGUAAAUACACUUGUCAGAUUCAUUUAUGAUGUAUCCGUUGGCUAACACAACUUGGUCAAACUUUUGGUGCCAUUGUUUGGGUGCUUGUUUCAACCCAUAUAAAGACUUAGUUAAUUUACACACUUUAUCUUCUUGACCUUUGAUCACAAACCCUUCCGGUUGUUUCAUAUAUAUCUCUUCAUCCAACUCUCCAUUUAGGAAAGAAGUUUUAACAUCCAUUUGAUGGAUUACAAACUUAUGGAUGGAUGCCAGUGCAAUUAGCAUUCUGAUUGAUGCAAUUCUUGCAACAGGUGCAUAUGUAUCAAAAUAAUCAAUGCCUUCUUUUUGCGUAAACCCUUUAGCAACUAGUCUAGCCUUGAAUUUAUCAAUGGUACCAUCCACUUUCAUUUUCCUUUUAAAGAUCCAUUUACAGCCUAUCGGUUUGGAUCUGGGUGGGAGAUCUACCACUUUCCAAGUUUUAUUACCCAUAAUUGAAUCCAUUUCUUCUUGAAUAGCUUCUUUCCAAAAAGCUGAAUCUUGAGAUUUUAUAGCCUCUUCAUAUGUUAUCGGAUCACUCUCAAGGUUAAAGCAAAUUGGUCCAUAACUAUUUAUGGAUUUACCUGUUCCUUCUACAAGAAACAUGAAGAAAUCAGAUCCAAAAUCUUUCUCUUUCCGGAUCCUCUUACUUCUUCUAAGUUCUGAACCAUCCAAUGUAUCUAUAUCAGAUUCAUUGUUUUCUAAAUUUUGAACAUUAGAAUGAACAAUAUCCUUGGGAUAAGAAAUUGAGUUAAAUCUAUCUUCUUGAAAAAUUGCAUCUCUUGACUCAAUUACUGUAUUAACAGAAUAUGAGUCAUUCGAUUCAAUAGUCAAGAAUCUGUAUGCUUUGCUAUUUUUUGCAUAGCCUAAAAAUACACAUUCAAUUCCUCUUUCACCCAAUUUCUUUCUUUUUGGUUCAGGCACUUUCACAAUUGCUCUACAACCCCAAACUUUCAAAUAAUUAAGAGUAAGCUUUCUUUGUUUUCAAAGUUCAUAUGGGGUUAUUUUGUUCCUUUUGUUUGGAACCCUAUUGAGGAUGUAACAUGCUGUUAGCAUUGCUUCACCCCAAUAUCCUUUAGAUAAUCCAGAAUAGGACAACAUGGCAUUAACCAUUUCUACCAAAGUUCUAUUCUUCCUUUCUGCUAUUCCAUUUUGUUGUGGGGUGUAUGGUGCAGUUACUUGAUGCACAAUACCAGUGGAUUCAAAAUAACUCGGAUGAUAGAACUCUCCUCCCCUAUCACUUCUAAAGCAUUUAAUGAAAGUUUCAUGUUGAAGUUCUACUUGUGCUUUAAAUAUUUUGAAUUUAUCUAAAACUUCAUCUUUUGAAUGCAUUAAAUAAACAUAACAAAAUCGAGUGCAAUCAUCAAUGAAAGUAACAAAAUACUUUUUACCACCAAUGGUGGGCCAACCAUGUAAAUCACAUGCAUCUGAAUGAAUUAAAUCUAGCACCCUAGAACUUCUUUUAACAUUUUUAAAAGGUUGUCUUGUAAUUUUAGUCAACAUGCAAGUAGUACAUGAAUCAAAUUUUUUAUCAAAAUUAGGAAUUAGAUUUGAUUUCAUCAUAUCCUCCAAUUUUCUAAAAUUAACAUGUCCCAAUCGCAUAUGCCAUAAAUCACAAGACUCAACAAUAUAAGCAGAAAUCAUAUUAUUAUUAUUAUUAAUAUUUGCAACAUUACAUUUGAACAUAUUCUCACACAAAUAUCCCUUUCCUACAAACACACCCCCCUUUGAGAGGAUAAAUUUAUCUCCCUCAAAUACAGAUUUGAACCCAUUCUUAUUAAGUAAUGGUACAGAAAUCAAGUUCUUCCUAACUUCAGGAACAUAAAAUACAUCUUUAAGAGUAAGUGUUUUUCCAGAAGUGAAUUCAAUCUCUAUGGUCCCUUUUCCUUGGACUUGCACAGUUGAAUCAUUUCCCAUGUACAAAACACUCACAUCUUUAUUGAUGGUCUUGAACAUUUUCUUGUUUUUGCACACAUGGCGAGUAGCACCAGAGUCUAUCCACCAUGAAUCAACAUCUUCAAUCAUGUUGAUUUCAGAAAUGACCGCAACAAAAUCAUCAUUUGUUGCCCUUGAAUUCUUUUCUUUGUUCUUCUUUUUAAAGAAUCUGCAUUCAUUCUUGAAGUGUCCUUCUUUCCCACAAAAGUAACAUUCACCUUUCCUUUUCUUUUUGUUGUUAUUACCAUUGUGGUUAUGAUGAAACUUAUCAUUUUCAUGAUUUCUCUUUUUGGAAGAUUUGCUUGAAUUUCCUUCUUCCAUAACAUGAACCUUCUCUUGAGUAACAUGAUUCUUAAUACCUUCUUGUUUUCGGUAUUCUUCUUCUAAACGAAGGUGAUUGCCAAGUUGCUCAAGAGAAAUGUCUUCCUUCUUAUGUUUCAUGGUUCGUUUGAAAUCUUUUCAAGAAGGAGGAAGUUUGUCAAUUAUGGAUGAUACAAUAAUUGUUUCAUCCAUAUUCAUGUUAUGUUGUUUGUAGUUGUUAAGAAUAUGUUCAAUCUCAUAUAAUUGUUCCAUAACAGACUUAUUAUCUACCAUUUUGUAAUUAUUAAAAUGAGAGACAAGGAAUUUCUUACUUGUUGCAUCUUCACGCAUGUAUCUGGUUUCCAAUUUGUCCCAUAAGUCUUUUGCAGAAGGGCUGCUCUGGUAGAUAUCGAACAAAGAGUCAGACAUACCAUUCAAGAUGAGUCCUAAGCAGAUGUAAUCAUCGUUGUUCCAUUUCUGUCUGUCUCUUGUCUCAGCAACGGUUUCAUCAUCCUUCUCCUCAGGCCUUGCCAUGUUCAGAACGUAUGCCACUUUCAAUGUUGUAAGAAGAAACUUCAUCUUCUUUUGCCAGCGGAUGAAAUUUCCCCCAUCAAACUUUUCCAACUUAACAAAGUCAGAAGUCAUUUCUUUCAAUGAAGCAGCCAUAGAAAUCGAACCUAAAGAUUGUUAUAUAUCUUGUUUGUUGGGAAGAGGCUGCUGCACUUGAAACCUGAAAUGUUUAAUGAUCAUGCAUGUAAAACUCAAAGCGUAUGGGGUUGCCACACUAACCUUUAGGUUCGAUUCGCCCCCACCAAUAAAUGUAUAUUGGAUGCAAUAGGAAUGACCGGCGAAUCCCCUUCAGGAUACUAUGAGUUCCUUGACGUGUAUUGCACAACCACACCAAGCGUAUCUCCUAACAGUAUUUUACAGAUUUAUGGUUCCAGCAAUUCACUCAUGCAUUAGAGAAUUGAUGGAUGAUUUAGAAUAAUAGAAUGGUGAAGAAUUAUGUUGUUAAUGUAACAAAAUUCUGUCCAAAUUGUGUGUAGUUGUGUGAUUUUUGUUUUUUCAACUAAUGCCCAAAUGUCAAGCAUUUAUAGUGCAUUAUAUGACUCUUCACAUGAGAGAAAGCACCUAUUUAACUUGAAUCAAUGCCAUGAUUCAUUAAGCACCCUUUUGCCAAAGGUUAUAACCAUAUAUACUUGAAUCAAUGUCAUGGUUCAUUAUUAAUAAUAAAUAAUAAUGUUCCAAUGUAUAUGAAUGGUUUACACGAAGAGUUACAACUUUUGGUUCUAAAGUGAUUCCAUUAUUUUGGAAAUCACCAACAAUAACAACCUGACAAAUGUGCAAAGUCUUAUGGCUAUGGCAUUAACAAACUAUCUCAUUCUUCUCUAACCAGUGACAAAAAGUCUAUAUGCAUGCAUAGUUUUAGAGUCAAUCUCUACUGAAGUGGCACUUAAGAGUGUCUCUCUCUAUCCUCCAGAAGUUUUAGGUGACGAGUUUGAUGAUGAACCUGAUGACGGUCACGAGGCUGGUGAGGAUACGGAAUAUCCCAUGUUGUAUUGCUCUACUGACAACUUUCCUACUUUACUGAAAGAGGAUUAUCCCUUAUAUGAUUAAAUUAUAAUGUGAUAUAUUUAUUACUCGCAUUCCCAUUUAAGUAAAGAUUAACCAACAUUUUAAUUGCCCGGUACACAUACGAACAUUGUCAUGAAUGAAAGCAAAGUGAUAUACCUCCAACCCUUUUUUAGUGAACUGAAAAUUGGUGCCAAGUGUUCAUAAUAUUAAAGUAGAAAGCUAUAAGGCUAAAUUGGCGUCGAAGUAAAAUGUUAUGGCCAAAAAGGCAAAGCAACAACAUAAAUCAAAAUGCGAUCCUAUCUUUCUCUUGAAUUUGAUCUUCAACACUUUCCAAUUUGAUUUGAUCAUCAGAGAGGCGAUGGAAAAUUGAUUUAACUUCUUUGUUCAAAGAUGCGAUCCUAUCUUUCUCUUGAUCUUGAAUCUUAACGAUGAUUGUCACCUUGUAGUUUUUCAAGCUUGGCAUUAAGAUCAGCAAUCUGAGCAUCAAGAAAGUUUAGUUGGUUUUGAAGCGUUGGCUUUGCUGGUACCUUCGUAAUGCGAGGCCUCAGCUGUUAUGUUUUCGUUUUGCUCUUCCGAUGAAUCUUCAUCUUCAGAAUCCUCUUCCGAUGAAUCUUCAUCUUCAAAUUCUAUGCCUGGGUGACAAAAAGGAACCUGAACAAGGAAAAAACAUUCAGAUCAAGAUACGCCUAGAAACAUGAUAAGAAUCAAUGGGUAGCUUUCAUUUUUGUAUCACAUUUGACGAAACAAAUUGUUUUUAACUAAACCACAAACAGAAAAUACCUGGCGAUUGUGCACAUAUUCGAAGGAUGAAGCCACAUAAGGAUAACGCUUGUGCACAUAUUCCAAGUAUGAACACACAUCACGAAAGGGGAUUUGUUUCACAAUAUCCAUAGAUGAGUCUUUCUGAAAGCAUAUAAUAUCACCAUUUUCUAACUGCAUUCAUGGAAAUACAAAUCAAUAAGAUAACCUGUUGUACAGUAACUUAGUGGGUGCCAACUGGAUGUCUACUAUACCUCGCUUUCUUGAAAUGUUAAUUUCAUGUCAACAGGCAGACACUUGACAUUUGGUUCAAACACUUCCUGCAAUACAAUGGGCACAAUUAACUCAGUAACGCCAUUAGAAAAUGUCCUUUCCCUUCUGGUAUGUCAUGAAAGAAUGAUAAAUUUUAAUAGAACUUAAUAAUGAGCAAAUUUCGUUACUAAACAACUGAAAUCAUGACUGCUUGACCCGAACUUAAUAACAAAGCUUAUCGCUUCUGAACAUAAUUUUUUUACUAAGCAUAUGCCUUCUGAACUUCAAUAAUAAAUCAGACAACACAAACCAACCUCGUAUAGUUCAAUCUCUUCAUCAGGAUCAUAACCAGCCAAUUUAUUUAACUUUGUUAAGAUUUGUGAUGGCUUAUCAGUACAGUUUACAAGGAGCCUUCCAACAUAACUGCCAUCAAAGGGAAAUACAUUUGAUGUCAACUAAGGUCCAUCUUUUACCCCAACAUAUGUUAAAAAUCACACAAGAAAAUUACUCAGUACCGUAGCUCCAUUCUUUCAGGAUCAUAUAACUUGAAAAAAAGUAAUAUAUCAUCCUUUCUCUUCUUGAGUGGUGCAAUGGGGCGUAAAUCCUAAAUAAUAAUGUAGUUUGUCAACAGGACUAUGCUUGAAUGAUGUUUCAUGCUAUCAAAAUAGUAUACAAAUUCAUAAUAUAAACGUUACCGGCCCACGCUCCACUUCCAAAAACAAUUCUAAUUCUGCUAUGUGAAUACCAAAUACGUCUCUAAAUUGCCCGACCUGCAAUUUGAUUCAAAAUGUAGAAGAGAAAGAGAAAAAAAAAAAAACAAAAAACUUCAGAUGGUGUGCUGAGAAGACAAUGAAUCUCCAAUUCGAAAAGAAAAAAAAACUAUAAGAUCCAAAAUAGUCCAUACGAAAAAUCACUCGCAUAUGUUGCAUAUUAAAAGAAAUAAAAGGAAGGUAGACAAAGAUGGAAAAUGAAGAUAAACAAAGCUAACACAUGUAGAAUUAACUGUUAGUCUGGCCCAAAAACUAAAAUCCAAUGCAAGGUUGUUAAAAUUGUGAGUUAAAUGUAAGUCUAGGUAUCAAUUUCGAGUACACUCGGCUGUAAACUUGUACCUGCAGUGAACUUGAUAAACUCGCAGGAAAUUUUGAGGAGGUAAACUUGUACGAGUUUACAAGUUGAGUUUAAGAGUCCAUUUCAUAUAGGCAAAACAAGUUUGCCUAAAUUCUCAAUUUUGACAACCUUAUGAAAAUGCAAUCAUCAGUCAUGGCAAACAUUAUAUUAGCAGUUUGAUAUAAAAUGUCAUGAAUAGAUUCAACAUAAAACAGAAAUGUGGGGGAAAAGAAGCUCCAAGUUUUUUUUAUUUUUUAUUUUAAAAACUAACAUUUUCCUAAAAGCAAACAAUCAGAAAUGAAAAGGUCACAGAAUAAGAAGCUUGAAGGGGGUAUAUGAGCAAAAUAAUAUUCAAAAAAGCUUCAUAGAUCUCAUAAAUUUACAGGUGCUGCUUCCUCAAUGUAUGUCAAUGGCCGAAAUGGACGAUAUGUAUGGUUUAGACGCUUUGCCCAUAGCCAAAAGCGCUGGAAUCGAGCCGGUAUGCCGAACUCUUUGGCAACCUCUUCCUACAUAUCACAUAUUAGCAAUCAGACAGAAAAAUCAAACUUACAAAAAUAACACAUCUGUUGAAUAAUCAUCAGAAACUUCAUAAACAAUUAUUACAUUAUAAAUUACAACAUCAAAAGCAUAAAAACCACAGAUUAUUCAUAUGACGACUUUUUUCUCCUUCCAACUAAAGCAUCAUGUUUUAAUAUUUUAGUACUUUGGAGAGUGCUCCUCUAAUGGUCUCAGGUUCGAUUGGUGCCAAUUAUUAGGAAAGAUCUGAUUCUUGUUUUUCUUGAUUACGAGUUAUUCAGCUUAGUCAAUAUAAUCACAUUAGUGCUUGUACUUCAAUCAUCAAUUAACAAGAUUCCGUUUUCUCUAAUUUUCCCGUUGUAAUAGUGUAAUUGAUGAUGAUACCUUG